rnacentral:lncRNA from 1 species
GUCAAUUUGUUACUCUGAAGAGAAAGCAUUUGAAGAGAAGUCAAGUUUCCAAUUACAAGAGGAAUUUCACCUGAAACAUAUAAUUAAAUCAGUAAAAAUUAUAAAUAUUUUCCUAGCAAAACCUUAAUUUAUUUGUUGAGCAUAUUAGUGUCCAUUUGAUUUAUUUAUUUUUAAAUAUGCAAGUUUUGUUUAAUUUUAUAGUACUUAUGACAACCCAAAAAUAUUUUAAUUACAAUACUCAAAUUGAUAGUUGAAAUGAUGAUGAAAAUUAGAUGGAAUAAAAUAGUUCACGCUUAAUAUUUUUUUUCAAAUAUAGGAUACAUUAGAGGUGAUUAUGCGUCGGGUUCAGGCCGGCUGACUAAGUCAAAAUUUUAGGCCCGUUUUCCCGAGCCCGAAAUAUGGGCCUAAAAAUUUGUCCAAGCCCAGUCCAAAAGAAAAUUGCUAAGCCGAGCUCGACCCUGCCCUGCCCAUAUUAAAUUUUACAACACCAAAAUAGCAUCAAAAACUUGCAAAAAAUAUAUAUAUUUUAUUAAAAAUAAAAAUAUAUAUUUAAUAUAUAAUUCGGGCUAGACUUAGGCCAAAAAAAUUUUACCCGAAGCCCGGCUCAUUUUAUAAAAUUUCCAAUUUCUGUAGGUAUACUUCCUUCCAAGGAGUUGCUCGACAAUGAUAAAAACUUCAAAUCUUUGCACUUGAAUAAACUAUUUGGAAUUCUACCGGAAAUUUGAUUCCAACUCAAGCCCAACCUUUCUAGUUUUGACAAAUUGCCUAGAGUAGAUGGGAUAACACCAAUGAAGUUGUUAAGGUACAGAGACAAUCUUUGAAGUUUACUAAAGCAACCAAACCAUGAUGGGAUUUCUCCAUUGAAGCUAUUGUUACCAAAGUCCAAAUACUUCAUCCGACGCAAAUUGGUUAACUCAAUGGGUAAAGAGCCAUGGAAACUAUUUUGAUGAAUGUCGAGCCAAGCAAGGAAAGAUAGAUUUCCCAAUUGAGAAGAAAUGGUGCCUGUGAGAUCCAUGCUUGAUAAAUUCAGAGCAGUGACUCUAUGGUGUCUAGAUCCACAUGUGACACCAAUCCAGCUACAAACGGAGGUAGAAGUAGACCAAUUGGUUGUCAAGAAAUUGUAAGGAUCAUGAGUUAUAUGAGAUUUGAGUGCUAGAAAAGCAGAUUGAUCAACGGUGAUGCUAGAAUAUUUUGCAGACAAAAUAACCCCAAAGGUUGCAAAUAGCAGCCCAAACAUAAACGGAGGGAGGAAGACGGUGAUAGUCUCCAAGAGAAAGAGACAAGCAAGGAGGGUGAAGGCAAAGUGGCAAACAAUACAUUAAUUACAUAUUUAUUUUUGCAUAUCUCAUUUUAUUUACUGUCACUAGACACUUUUUAUAUAUAUAAAUUAUUAAAUAUUAAAUUUCAUAUAUAAAAAAAUCCACAUAUUACUUAUUUUAUUAAUACAUAAACAGUAAAUCGUUUAGAUGAUUUCAAGUUAAAAAAAUUAUAUAUUUUAGAUUUUAUAUGGAUUCUUUUUAAGUUCAAUAUUCAAAUUAUUCAGAUUUUCCAUCAUCAAAGUUGAAUAGUUUGUAAUUCAAAUUAUUGCUCUCUUUUUACUUGUACCAAUAUUUCCUAUAUUUUUCUUAUGUUAAAAUAGUCAAAGUAUUAAAGAUAUAAUUAAUUGGAGAGAAGUCAAAAGCUAAUUAAUAAUAUAUAGGGAUUGCAUAAAUGUAACAACAAAAAGAAAAAAAAAAUCAAAGCUACUUCAUGGUUGUAUUUUGUGAGGCUGUGGAAGUUGAAAGAGUAAUAAUUUUAAGCUGUCUAAGGAAAAUAUUAAACUAAAACUUUAGUAGAGUUUAAUUAUAUAUAUUAUAUUUUAAUUUUUUAAUAAAAGUACAUAUUUUAAAUCAAAAAUAUUUUAAUCAAAUCAUCUGUAUUAGUUUUGAAGUUCAGGAUUAUAUAUAUAACAUAUAUAUUGAUUGAGUGUAUAACUUCAACUUCAAAAAGAUAUUUUAAUCAAUCAAUUUUAUUAGUUUUCGAGUUUAGGCUUAUAUAUAAUAUAUAUGUCGAGUUAGAAAUACUACAAAAGGUUGACAUUUUUUAAAAGUAUGAUAAUUUGAAUAGAAGUAACAUAUGCUAAUGUAGAGUAAUUGUUCCAUAUAAUCCUUUUUAUGAUGAAAUGAUUGCUUCAUAACUUCUUACACUUAGACAUAAUAAUGAGGUUUUAAUCUUUUAAGGUAACUUUUAUUUUAUUUACUUAAAAAAUUGCAUAAAUUUAAUAAAAAAAAGAAGAAUAAAAGAAACAUGAAAUUAUACCUGUCAAUUUGUUAUUGCUAAGAUGAAGAAAUUGGAGAGAAGUCAAUUUUUCAAUAACAAGAGGAAUUUCACCUGAAACGUAUAAUUAAAUCGGUCAAAAUUUGCAAAUAUUUUCCUACCAAACCCUUAAUUUAUUUGUUGAGCAUAUUAACGUUUGUUUCAUUUACCUAUUUUUAAAUAUGCAAGUUUAGUUUAGUCUUAUAGUACUUAUGAUAACCCAAAAAUAUUUUAAUUAUAAUACUCAAAUUAACAAUAAAAUUAAAAAAAUAUUUAUCUUUGUGCUAGAAAAAAAACACCGCAUAGAUCAUAAAAAGGAAAAACUAAAACAUCCAAAAGAAUAUGUCAAACACUAAACACAAAAUUCAUAGUUGUAGAGGAGAAUUAGAUACAUUGGUCCCAUAAUAUGUCACUCAAAAUCUCAAAUUCAUCCAACAAAAAGAAAUCAUCACUUUAGUUAAUUAAAUCAAGAACAAAUAAAGUUAUGGAUGAACAAAUAUGGGAAGCAAAGAAAUGUGAUGGAUCAAAAGGGACGGAUAAGCUAAUUUCUGCCAUAAGGUAGAUGGUGAACUUAGGAUGUGGAGUUUCAAUAAAUACCUAAAAAUACCUAAACUUUUGGCAAUUCAAAUAGAUUAUACUAAUUUUUAAUUACUUAAAAAUAUUGCAUAAAUUUAAUAACAAAAAGGAGAAUAAAAGAAACAUGAAAUUAUACCUGUCAAUUUGUUAUUGUCAAGAAAAAGCUCUCGAAGAGAAGUCAAGUUUCCAAUAACAAGAGGAAUUUUACCUGAAACAUAUAAUUAAAUCAAUAAAUAUAUAAUUAUUUUUAUUAAUUAUUUUAAGAGUUUAAUAAGGCAAAUCUAAAAGGUAGAAGAAAUAGCUAAUUAGAAGUAGUGUGUGAUUCAAAAGGGUAUAAAGUAGGUCCAAAUUAAAAAUCAAAUUUUAAAAUAAUUUAAUGUAAAAUUUAACUCUUUUCUUAUCACCAAAUAAAUUUACUUUCAGAGAAAUUACAAGUUUUAAUAAAAUAGUUGAAAUAAGUGACUGUUUAUGACUAGGUGAAAAUUAGAUGAAAAAAACAUAUAAUUAAUAAUUUAUAUAUCUAUUUCUCUCAUACUUGAACUAUGGUCGAGCAAAAAUUAAUAAAAAAAUCAAACGGAUAGAAAUAGCUUAGUUAGAAGUUUGCAUAUCUCAUUUUAUUUACUCUCACUAGACAUUUAAUCUUUUAAGGUAACUUUUAUUUUAUUUACUUAAAAAAUUGCAUAAAUUUAAUUAAAAAAAAGGAGAGUAAAAGAAACAUGGAAUUAUAUUGUCAAUUUGUUAUAGCUAAGAUAAAGUGAUUGGAGAGAAGUUAAGUUUCCAAUAACAAGAGGAAUUUCACUUGAAACGUAUAAUUAAAUCGGUCAAAAUUUGCAAAUAUUUUCCUACCAAGCCCUUAAUUUAUUUGUUGAGCAUAUUAGUGUCUGUUUCAUUUACCUAUUUUUAAAUAUGCAAAUUUAGUUUAGUCUUAUAGUAAUAUGAGUAAUAUUGGGCUCCAACCACAGUACACGGUAAAAAAUGAAAGCCAGAAAAAUGCAAGACUGCAUGUCUACACCAUAUUAUUUUUAUAAAUAAAAGAGUAAUUUCUCUAUAUAAAUAAAUGAGUUGGGUUGGAUUUCAUUUAAUUGAAAAUGAGUUGGAUUGGCUGAUUAUUUGAUUUUGGGUUAAAUGAAAAUCAACUUCUGCCUGGAUGUAGGUAUUGGGUUUAAUGUAACUUAUAUAAAGAGUUUAGUAUGUCGCUUUAUUUGACUUAUUUGGUUUGGACACUCAAAUUUGAAAUUGAUCAAUUAAACCAAUAGAAAUGAGUCUCAACUAAAUAAAGUGAAAACUCAACUAAAUAGAAUUGGAUUAAAGUGAUUCAAUUAAUCAAGUUUUCACAUACUUAUAACCAUCGUGAUUCAUUCAUAUUAUUAUUCUCAUACUAUAUUCAUGUUAAGUUGAUGUAUUUGGAAAGAUCGAAGCUUUUUUCUAUUUUAGGGUGUCUCUUGGAGCACAGGUGAGAUUAUUAAGAUAUUAUAUAUUUUGGAGUGUGAAAUUUAUUGAAUCAUUUAGAAUAAGAAUCAAAUUGAUAGAAUGUGUAAGUAUUAAGAAAUAAACGUGUUAUUAUUCUAGUUGGAAAAGGCAACAUCAUCACUUCCGUUAACUAUUUAACGGAGAGUGACCAAAAUAGAAACAAUCUAAAGUGUGAGUGACCAAAAUAGAAAUAAUAUAAAAUGUAAGUGACUAAAUAAAAAAAAUUCAUAGUUGGGUGACUAAUUCUAUAGUAAUUUACCCUAGAUGGUAGAAGCAAUUAGGAUUAAUUCCACCAAACAUCUCAAACUAUUACUCAUAUUUUAAAUUGAACCCUAAACUUUUACACAUUCUAAUUAAAUUACUCAAAUAGAAUGUGAUAAUGUAUUAUGCUAUUAUUCAUCGAUAGUGCAUAGAAUUUAUGUACUAACAAUGCAUCAAAUAUUCUCAUUAAAAGAAAAUGUAUAAAAUAAGUUUUAUACCAUCUAUAAUUUGUAAAAAAAAAAUUAUCCAAUAAAAAAUAUAAAAAUACAUCUAUAAUUUCACAAAAAGAAUUACAUAUCUAUAAUAUCUUUUUAUAAAUUCAAUUCCAAAUCUCCUGUAAUAAAUCAACCUCACAAAUCUGAUUGAGGUUAAAAAGAAAGAAUGCAUGUAUUGUGCAAUUAAAACCAUGAUCCAUAUUCAGUUCUAAAGUAUUGAACAUAUAAUUUUGCAUUAUUUUACCUCCCUUGAUUCUUCACAAACUCUUGGGGAAUAAAGACAGUCUUUACAAACCAGUGCACCUCUCAUAAACAGAUCAGGGACAAUUGCCAUGAGAGAGGACCUAAGAAAACAUAAUACAAACUACAUAACAUACAAUCAAGCACCCACACAAAAUGUUUAUUAAACAGCUACAGAAAAAGGCCUGCAUACCACCAAGCAAUGAGGUUUUCUGUUCUGUUUGCAACUUGUUGAACUCGCCCAAGUGUUGCCUUCUCUACCUUUUUGCAAAUCUUUGUCGGACUCGCUCCACGAUCCUAAUCAACCACCAUGGUUUUCCAGUCGUGAAUACAAUGUAUGCCAUGCUCAUUCCCAGCACCAACCCACAUCCAUACCCCAUCAAUAUUGAAAAUUUCCAAUUCAAUUCAUCACCAUCAUCAUCUCUAUCAAAUUUGGCUGGAGUUUCCUCAUCAGUACCACAGUUUUUUGAUAAUGGAAAACCACAUAAAUCCGAAUUUCCCAUGUAGGAAUCUUUAGUAAAAGUAUCAAAUUGUUUGCCUUGAGGAAUGGGUCCCUUGAGAUUAUUUUGAGAAAGGUUUAACACCUCUAAGAAUCCAAGAUUUUUUAACUCUGUUGGAAUUCUUCCUUCCAGCUUAUUUGAUGAGAGAUCUAAUGAUUCAAGCUCUGACAAAUUACCUAAAGAUGAUGGGAUAGGACCUAUUAAACAGUUAUGGGAGAGGUUUAGGACAAGAAGUAAAUGAAGCUCACCAAGUAUUUUUGGAAUUUCUCCCCUAAAUUGGUUACUAGAAAGGUCAAUAACCGUCCAAAUGGAUAAUAGUGAUUCAAACUUUAUUUCCAGCCCUUUUGCUGUAACAGAUAAACCAGAAGCAUAAUCCACCCAAAAUACACCAAAUGCAUCUUUCGUGGGCUUUACUUCUCUCAUGUAAUUUGGUUCAACAUUCUUUCCAUACUCAUCUCUAAUGGCAUGCAUAUGCUCAAAAAAAGGAGUAGGUAAGUAGCCACUAAAAUUAUUGUGAUAAAGAUCAAUGAUUCGCAAUUUAGUUAAAGAAACUGUAAUAUCAAAGCUCUCUAUUUGGCCGUAAAAUCUAUUCGACCUCAAGAUAAGAACUUGCAGCUGAUCCAAAUUUCCUAACCAACUUGGGAAAGUGUCAUUCAAAUUGUUGUUUCCAACAUUGAGAAGAUUUAAACCUUUGCAAUUACCCAAGGAUCGUGGUAGUGACCCUUCUAAUUCAUUGUUGUUGAUGCCUAAACUUCUCAACAUGCAACCUUUAGCAAAAUUUUCUGGUAUUUGACCAUGAAAAUUAUUAUUCCCUAGAUCAACUGCUGUGAGAGAAGAACUCAUGUUUCCGAUGCACUUUGGAAUUGUUCCCUCCAAAUUAUUCUCAUCUAAAGCCAUAACCUUAAGGGAAGUCAAAUUGCAUACUGAAGAAGGGAUUUCUCCAAUUAAGUUAUUAGUUGAAACUGCAUACCAUUGCAAUAAAGGUGGUGGUGUUGGAAUUCGACCUUAGAGAUAAAAUUGAAAAUGAGAUAUUAGGAGUUUGAAGAUUCUUUGGAAUAUAAAUUAUAAAAUAACUAUAUUUAUGAUGUAUUACAUGCUUGAUUAAUUUACUACACUACUUCUAACCAUUUUUACAUGCAUCACAACAACCUUUAAGUUGUAAUCUAUUGAAGGAAACUACUACUAUCUUCCAGAGAAACUUAAAAGUAAAAAGGGAUUGCAUAAAUGUAUAAAAAUAGAAGGAAAAAAAAUAUCAAACUAUACUUAAUAGUUUAUUAUAAAAGAGAUAACCAUUUAAUAUCUAACUUAUAUUUCAUUUUUUUAGUGUUUAUUAUUAUUUUUUGUACUUUUAUGUAUAUUUUAUAAUUUAUUAUUGGGGUUCACGGUUGUUAUUGUCAAGAAUAUCUUGAAUCUAUUAUAGAUGUAGAUUAUAAAUUGUAGACAAAUAUUUUGGUUGGGUUAGCAAAGCUAAAAAAGUUGAGAAUAAUAAAUUUUUAAAAUUUUAAAUUUAAGGUGAAAAAUUAAAUCCUAAUUGUUUAAAUAUCUAUAUGUAAUUAGUGAAUAAGAAUUGCGCAGAAUGGCGUAAAAGAAAAAUAAAAUGAAAGAAUUUAAAAUAUAAUUUUUAAGUUUAUAUCACGUGUCCUAUUAUAAUUGAAACUUAUUAUGGAAUUCACUAUUACUGACUUGAAGCUCGAGUAGGUUCAAGUUAUUGACCCACAACCCAAGUAGACUUAAAGGAAUUUGGGUCGGGCCCCACAAAGUGGGCAUAUUGGAGUUCGCACAUCCAAUUCGUAGGUAUGCUAGAGCUCGUAGGCCUAGCUUACAAGACAAGCCCGCACAUUGAGUUCACACGUCUCUAUAUGAUCGCAAGGAGAGGUGCUAAGUCAAGCACGUGGUCCAUGAACAUGUGUUAAGUCUAGAACAAGAUACGUGUUAACAUACAUGAAGCUUGUCUAAGACGUCAUUUCAGUGAGUGUGGUGCAAUAAGUGUGGUCAAACUUUCGAUUGACCAUAGUAGACACAAAGAGAAAAUACUCAACAAUUUGGUGCAGUGAGUGUGGUCAAACUUUCGAUUGACAGAUUUUUAGCUUGUAACAAUCAAAAUAGCUCACCCAAAUUAAAAUUUCCCCAUCAAUGUUUUGUCAGGAUAAGUUGCUAGUAUUAUAUUGUUGCUAGUAUUAUACAAAACAAAAAGUCAAAAAGUGAGAGAAAACCCAGUCAUCAGCACACCAAAACUCGUUAAGUCAAUCAUAGUUGCUAGUAUUAUAUUGUAUCUUCUUACAUCGAGAGAUAAGGUAGGUGAGAAAGGGAGAUAAAAGACGGUGAGCUUGGAUGGGACAUUAAGGGGGAAGAGAGGAAAAAAUGUUAUGUGUCUAAUUAUUUCUAGUGUUUGAACCGUUUUGAGUCAUAUCUAUCUUGGAACUCAUACCGUCCUAAGCCUUAGAACAUUACAAGCUUAGAAGACCAAUGUGUUUCCUAUGCAAUAAUAUCAACUAUGGCUUAGCAACAACUAAAUCAAGACAUAAACAAUAAGGCAAAUCUAAAAGGUAAAAAGGAAUAGCUAAUUAAAAGUAGUGUGUGAUUCAAAAGGUAGACGGUGAACUUAGGAUGUGGAGUUCCAAUAAAUACCUAAACUUUUGGCAAUUCAAAUAGUUUCUUUAUAAAAGUUUGUAAAUAUUUGAGUCUUAUUCGUAUUAAGAAAUACAUAAUUUUAAGCGGUCUAAUAAUGAAAAUAUUAUAUUAAGCUUUAGUAGAGUUUAAUUAUAUAUAUUAUAAGAAUAGUCUUCCGUGUAUUUAUCCAUUUAAUUUAAUUUUUUUAUUUUGGUCCCUUGGAACGGUUGGAACGGUGCGUUUAGGGGGUAUGUGGAUAAUUUCCUAGUUGGUCCCUGUCCAUUUUCACGCAUUUAAUUUUAGUCCUUUAUUCUGUUUUAUUGUUUAAUUUAUUUAUUUUAUUAUGAUUUAUACUUUUAAUUUCACUUAAAUUUUGAUUCAGUCCCUUAUUUAUUUAAUUUCAGCCUUUCAUGAAUUUUAUUUAUUUAUUACUUCUUUAUUUUCAUAUACUUAAAAAUUGGAUUGUUUACAUUCUUUUAUUUGUGCAUUUUUUUGCUCAUUUAUUUUAUUUACUUAAAAAGAUUGCAUAAAUUUAAUAACAAAAAGGAGAAUAAAAGAAAUGAAAUUAUACCUGUCAAUUUGUUACUCUGAAGAGAAAGCAUUUGAAGAGAAGUCAAGUUUCCAAUUACAAGAGGAAUUUCACCUGAAACAUAUAAUUAAAUCAGUAAAAAUUAUAAAUAUUUUCCUAGCAAAACCUUAAUUUAUUUGUUGAGCAUAUUAGUGUCCAUUUGAUUUAUUUAUUUUUAAAUAUGCAAGUUUUGUUUAAUUUUAUAGUACUUAUGACAACCCAAAAAUAUUUUAAUUACAAUACUCAAAUUGAUAGUUGAAAUGAUGAUGAAAAUUAGAUGGAAUAAAAUAGUUCACGCUUAAUAUUUUUUUUCAAAUAUAGGAUACAUUAGAGGUGAUUAUGGGUCGGGUUCGGGUCGGCUGACUAAGUCAAAAUUUUAGGCCCGUUUUCCCGAGCCCGAAAUAUGGGCCUAAAAAUUUGUCCAAGCCCAGCCCAAAAGAAAAUUGCUAAGCCGAGCCCGACCCUGCCUUGCCCAUAUUAAAUUUUACAACACCAAAAUAGCAUCAAAAACUUGCAAAAAAUAUAUAUAUUUUAUUAAAAAUAAAAAUAUAUAUUUAAUAU